rnacentral:rRNA from 4 species
UAUGUGAAUACAUAGCAUAUCAGAAGGCACACCCGGAGAACUGAAACAUCUUAGUACCCGGAGGAAGAGAAAGAAAAUUCGAUUCCCUUAGUAGCGGCGAGCGAAACGGGAAGAGCCCAAACCAACAAGCUUGCUUGUUGGGGUUGUAGGACACUCUAUACGGAGUUACAAAGGACGACAUUAGACGAAUCAUCUGGAAAGAUGAAUCAAAGAAGGUAAUAAUCCUGUAGUCGAAAAUGUUGUCUCUCUUGAGUGGAUCCUGAGUACGACGGAGCACGUGAAAUUCCGUCGGAAUCUGGGAGGACCAUCUCCUAAGGCUAAAUACUCUCUAGUGACCGAUAGUGAACCAGUACCGUGAGGGAAAGGUGAAAAGCACCCCGGAAGGGGAGUGAAAUAGAACCUGAAACCGUGUGCUUACAAGUAGUCAGAGCCCGUUAAUGGGUGAUGGCGUGCCUUUUGUAGAAUGAACCGGCGAGUUACGAUUUGAUGCAAGGUUAAGCAGUAAAUGUGGAGCCGUAGCGAAAGCGAGUCUGAAUAGGGCGUUUAGUAUUUGGUCGUAGACCCGAAACCAGGUGAUCUACCCUUGGUCAGGUUGAAGUUCAGGUAACACUGAAUGGAGGACCGAACCGACUUACGUUGAAAAGUGAGCGGAUGAACUGAGGGUAGCGGAGAAAUUCCAAUCGAACCUGGAGAUAGCUGGUUCUCUCCGAAAUAGCUUUAGGGCUAGCCUCAAGUGAUGAUUAUUGGAGGUAGAGCACUGUUUGGACGAGGGGCCCCUCUCGGGUUACCGAAUUCAGACAAACUCCGAAUGCCAAUUAAUUUAACUUGGGAGUCAGAACAUGGGUGAUAAGGUCCGUGUUCGAAAGGGAAACAGCCCAGACCACCAGCUAAGGUCCCAAAAUAUAUGUUAAGUGGAAAAGGAUGUGGCGUUGCCCAGACAACUAGGAUGUUGGCUUAGAAGCAGCCAUCAUUUAAAGAGUGCGUAAUAGCUCACUAGUCGAGUGACACUGCGCCGAAAAUGUACCGGGGCUAAACAUAUUACCGAAGCUGUGGAUUGUCCUUUGGACAAUGGUAGGAGAGCGUUCUAAGGGCGUUGAAGCAUGAUCGUAAGGACAUGUGGAGCGCUUAGAAGUGAGAAUGCCGGUGUGAGUAGCGAAAGACGGGUGAGAAUCCCGUCCACCGAUUGACUAAGGUUUCCAGAGGAAGGCUCGUCCGCUCUGGGUUAGUCGGGUCCUAAGCUGAGGCCGACAGGCGUAGGCGAUGGAUAACAGGUUGAUAUUCCUGUACCACCUAUAAUCGUUUUAAUCGAUGGGGGGACGCAGUAGGAUAGGCGAAGCGUGCGAUUGGAUUGCACGUCUAAGCAGUAAGGCUGAGUAUUAGGCAAAUCCGGUACUCGUUAAGGCUGAGCUGUGAUGGGGAGAAGACAUUGUGUCUUCGAGUCGUUGAUUUCACACUGCCGAGAAAAGCCUCUAGAUAGAAAAUAGGUGCCCGUACCGCAAACCGACACAGGUAGUCAAGAUGAGAAUUCUAAGGUGAGCGAGCGAACUCUCGUUAAGGAACUCGGCAAAAUGACCCCGUAACUUCGGGAGAAGGGGUGCUCUUUAGGGUUAACGCCCAGAAGAGCCGCAGUGAAUAGGCCCAAGCGACUGUUUAUCAAAAACACAGGUCUCUGCUAAACCGUAAGGUGAUGUAUAGGGGCUGACGCCUGCCCGGUGCUGGAAGGUUAAGAGGAGUGGUUAGCUUCUGCGAAGCUACGAAUCGAAGCCCCAGUAAACGGCGGCCGUAACUAUAACGGUCCUAAGGUAGCGAAAUUCCUUGUCGGGUAAGUUCCGACCCGCACGAAAGGCGUAACGAUUUGGGCACUGUCUCAACGAGAGACUCGGUGAAAUCAUAGUACCUGUGAAGAUGCAGGUUACCCGCGACAGGACGGAAAGACCCCGUGGAGCUUUACUGUAGCCUGAUAUUGAAAUUCGGCACAGCUUGUACAGGAUAGGUAGGAGCCUUUGAAACGUGAGCGCUAGCUUACGUGGAGGCGCUGGUGGGAUACUACCCUAGCUGUGUUGGCUUUCUAACCCGCACCACUUAUCGUGGUGGGAGACAGUGUCAGGCGGGCAGUUUGACUGGGGCGGUCGCCUCCUAAAAGGUAACGGAGGCGCUCAAAGGUUCCCUCAGAAUGGUUGGAAAUCAUUCAUAGAGUGUAAAGGCAUAAGGGAGCUUGACUGCGAGACCUACAAGUCGAGCAGGGUCGAAAGACGGACUUAGUGAUCCGGUGGUUCCGCAUGGAAGGGCCAUCGCUCAACGGAUAAAAGCUACCCCGGGGAUAACAGGCUUAUCUCCCCCAAGAGUUCACAUCGACGGGGAGGUUUGGCACCUCGAUGUCGGCUCAUCGCAUCCUGGGGCUGUAGUCGGUCCCAAGGGUUGGGCUGUUCGCCCAUUAAAGCGGUACGCGAGCUGGGUUCAGAACGUCGUGAGACAGUUCGGUCCCUAUCCGUCGUGGGCGUAGGAAAUUUGAGAGGAGCUGUCCUUAGUACGAGAGGACCGGGAUGGACAUACCUCUGGUGUACCAGUUGUCGUGCCAACGGCAUAGCUGGGUAGCUAUGUGUGGACGGGAUAAGUGCUGAAAGCAUCUAAGCAUGAAGCCCCCCUCAAGAUGAGAUUUCCCAACUUCGGUUAUAAGAUCCCUCAAAGAUGAUGAGGUUAAUAGGUUCGAGGUGGAAGCAUGGUGACAUGUGGAGCUGACGAAUACUAAUCGAUCGAAGACUUAAUCAA